rnacentral:precursor_RNA from 10 species
AGCCUGCUUUAUAUAUGGCGUGCGCGGAUCCGCCUGCAUCUUUACAGCUUCAAGUGCUGCGUUGUAUUGACUGAAUGCUGUAAAAUAAAGGCAAGAUCAUCGUACGCACACUCCACGAAAUAGUUC